AGGAUGCCACCUGGGCGCCUCCCUAGGGAGGUGUUCCAGGCACGUCCAGCUGGGAAGAGACCGAGGGGUAGACCUAGGACCAGGUGGAGGGACUAUAUCUCUUCGCUGGCCUGGGAGCGCCUUGGGACCCCCCAGUCAGAGCUGGUUGAUGAGGGGAAAGGAACGUUUGGGGCUCUCUGCUGGAACGAGACCCCCGAGACCCGACCACGGAUAAGCGGGAGAAGAUGGAUGGAUGGAGGCUUGCAGGUGGACUGUUUACACAGCCGUGGGAACUAAGGAAGUCUUAAGAAGAGCUACAGCUGUCCUAUGUUUGCUUUUUGGUGGGAGGACCAUGGCUGCUUGAGUUCCGUUCUUCGGUUCUUAAACACACUUAAGGACUUCGAGGACAUUGAUCUGACAUCAAUGAAGACGGUGGCUUCUGGAGUGUCUGAAGAACUUACGGUACUAUACUAUGACUGUUUUCUCAUAUUUCCAACUACACUAUGACUAUUUUCCAACAUAGUCAUAGUGUACUAUGCCAGGGGUUCCCAAACGUUGCCAUGCCAAGGACCCCAUAUAGCAUGAUCCUCUGGCGGGGACCUCCCUGUUGCAAUUUUUUAAAUGAUGAGUACAUUAUGAUGGAGAAUAGGACAAAUUAAUCAUACAGCUUAAUACAUUUUCUUAAUAUAUAUUUGUACUAAUAAUUAAUAAUCAGUUAUUCUUCAAAAAAAGUUAUUUAUCUUUUGUUUGUCAUUCAUUACAUUGAUUGUGUGUUCUGUUAUAAACAUUCUUAACACAAUAUUAAACAGUAAUAUCAACAGUAAACACAUUUUUAAAGUGAUUUCUGUCUUUAUAAUAUAUAAUUUUGAACAGUAAUAUGAACAAUUAACAUAUAUUUUUAGCAUUUUUGAAAGCUAUUUAUAUAUAAUAUUCAACAGUAAUAUUAACAAUAGACAUAUUUAUAUUCAUAUAUAUAAACAUCAAUAUUUGCUACAUCCGUGCUCUCGUCCAGCUGCAGAGCGAAACAUUCUGACGUCAUGGUGUCUUUUUCUUCUUUUCCUGGAACACCGAGUGCAAACAUCUGACAUCAACGAAGACGGUGGCUUCUGGAGUUUCUGAGGAGUUUACGGACUGCGAGGACAUUCAUCUGACAUCAAUGAAGACGGUGGCUUCUGGAGUUUCUGAAGGACUUACGGACUGCGAGGACAUUCAUCUGACAUCAGUGAAGACGGUGGCUUCUUGAGUUUCUGAAGGACUUACGGACUGCGAGGACAUUCAUCUGACAUCAGUGAAGACGGUGGCUUCUUGAGUUUCUGAAGGAAUUACGAGAGUGAAGAGAGGACGCCCCCCCCCCCCACGCCAUCAAUUAAGACCCCGGCUGCCUAUGCUUCUGAAAAACUUGUGGACGUUUUCAGCCUUGGGGAAGUAUAGCAGACUUAGCAGCCUUGGGGACGUAUAGCAGACUCAACAGACUAUCGAUGUGGCUGCAGUGAGAGCCUACAGCCACUUAGCAGACUUAGCCGACUUGGGGCGGUGGCUGGGGUGCCGAGCGGCCCCCCCCCAGCCACGUCAGCCCCCCCGACUUAGCAGACUUAGCAGGCCUACAGACUUAGCAGACUAUCGGCAGUGACUGCAGGCCCCUGCACAGGAGUGCAGUGAGAGCCGGCAGCCACCUAUCGGCCGCUUAUUAGACUUAGCAGACUUGGGGACGUUUAGCAGACUUGGGGACGUUUAGCAGACUUGGGGACGUUUAGCAGAUUGGGGACAAGGCUGCACUGCUAUGUAUGAAUAAAUGUGAAUAAAGCAAAAGUUUCUUAAAAUACA